rnacentral:rRNA from 1 species
GACGAACGCUGGCGGUGUGCUUAACACAUGCAAGUCGAACGGAAAGGCCCUGCUUUUGUGGGGUGCUCGAGUGGCGAACGGGUGAGUAACACGUGAGUAACCUGCUCUUGACUUUGGGAUAACUUCAGGAAACUGGGGCUAAUACCGGAUAGGAGCUCCCGCUGCAUGGUGGGGGUUGGAAAGUUUCGGCGGUUGGGGAUGGACUCGCGGCUUAUCAGCUUGUUGGUGGGGUAGUGGCUUACCAAGGCUUUGACGGGUAGCCGGCCUGAGAGGGUGACCGGCCACAUUGGGACUGAGAUACGGCCCAGAGUCGUACGGGAGGCAGCAGUGGGGAAUAUUGCACAGUGGGCGGGAGCCUGAGGCAGCAACGCCGCGUGCGGGAUGACGGCCUUCGGGGUGUAAACCGCUUUCGCCUGUGACGAAGCGUGAGUGACGGUAAUGGAUAAAGAAGCACCGGCUAACUACGUG